rnacentral:antisense_RNA from 1 species
ACAAUUUUGCAUUAAAUGAUAGGUAAAAACUAAAACUUUUAAUAACUGUUUCUUCUAUAUUUGUAGAUCCUGCUGUUUCUCUACAUAAAAAUCUAAUAUAAGCUGAUUUAGCACAAAAUAUGUGAAAUUGUAUAUAUUUUUAUUUCUUUUGUUAUUGUUUUUGUUAUUAGUAUUAUUUUGAGACAGGCUUUCACUUUGUCACCCAGGCAUUUUCAUUUGACUCUAAGACCAUACCUUUUAUAACUUACACAUUUUACUUUAUUAUAUAUUGAGGUUCUCUGAUCAGUCCAGUAACCUCAUUGUCU